UUGGUCAUCAAACCUCAGGAUGCCUCAGGAUCAGUCCCUCAUCCUCACCGUGACUGCCUUAAUUCAGGCCCUCAGCGCCUGUCACCCCUGAGGUUGAAGACAAGGGGCAUCUCAUCUAGGGCAGACUCCCCUGAUCACCGUGGCUGGGUUGGGCUGAGUUUGGCUGGGUUAAGUCCACCUCCCUGUGUUCCUACAACCUACCAUUCCCUCAGCCUCUGAUAGGUCAGUGAGACAAGCACAGUGGAGGCCAGACCCCACCCCAACUGUCACGGCCUGCGUGGAGCAGAGACGAUGCCAUCGACAUCUUUGUUUCCAGUACCAGGAACAGGGCUCACUCGCGGUGAUACUAUGUUGAACGGAAACCUCAUUGCCCGGAAGGAAAACAAUCCAGACUGCUGAGACAGCCCUCCUUGGCCAGUCCCAGCCAGGGAACCUCAUUACUCCCACCUCCUGUGAGGAAUAGAAUCCACCACCCAACUGGCUCCACACCUGCCUGUGAACCAGCUCCAGCUGUUUUUAUUGGUUUUCGCUCCCUCCCUUAUUCCCCAGCUUGGCCUCAUUUUGUAUCCUGUCCCUCGCCCUCCAGUACCCAGUGGUCUUUCUUUUUUCCCCUUCCCUUCCUAACCAAACCGUUCAUUCUCGUUGCUGUUCAAGUAAACCUAAGGGCCUUGAGGCUCACCCUGAUCAUUUUAGCCAUAGGACUCCCUCCCCAACUCUGCAGAUGGCCUCAACCUAGGUGCACACUGGCCAAAUCCCAACCCCAGAGAUCCUGAAUUAGGGGGUCUGAAUGCCCAUCAGGAGUAUUUUUAAAGCCCCCUGGCUCCAGGUGAAUGUAAAAUGCAGCUAGUCAAGACCCAACCGUUGUCUGUUUCCUCCGUAUUCAGAGUACAGUCCCCAGACCAGCAGGCUUCCCAUCACCUGCAGCACCUCAGUUCCAGCCUCGGACCUGAAUCACGUCCUGCACUAAUCAAGAACCUGCAUGAGACCAAGGUCCCCAGGUGGUGGUACACACAUGAACGUUUCAGAAGGGCUGCUGUAGAGUCAAACAGCCCACAGGGAAACACCCUGACCCCGCCCACCUGUGAAUGGCCUCAGAAAAGAAGACAUUAACACAUCCCCUCCCCUAGGAUGGCCAAAACCAGGAGAUAUUUUGCAAGACUUAUGGCCUUUUUACUUCCUCACCUCCUCCCCCUCUCUGUUCUAUAAAAGAAACUGGCAUCCAGACCCCGAUAAGAUGGUACUCUAGGACAUUAGUCUGCCAUCGUCUCAGAUGCCCAGCUUUCCGAAUAAAGUCUCUAUUCCUUGCCUCAA